GAUGAACGCUGGCGGCGUGCCUAACACAUGCAAGUCGAGCGAAAGGACGAUAAGCUUGCUUUCUUGAUGUUAGCGGCGGACGGGCGAGUAACACGUGCAUAACCUUCUUAUAUGACUGGGAUAACAUCGGGAAACCGGAGCUAAUACUGGAUAAUACUUUGUACCGCAUGGUUCAAAAGUUCAAGACAGCUUUGCCGAUUCUAAUAGAUGGAUCCGCGCUGCAUUAGCUAGUUGGUAAGGUAACGGCUUACCAAGGCUACGAUGCAUAGCCGACCUGAGAGGAUGAUCGGCCACACUGGAACUGAGACACGGUCCAGACUCCUACGGGAGGCAGCAGUAGGGAAUCUUCCGCAAUGGGCGAAAGCCUGACGGAGCAACGCCGCGUGAGUGAUGAAGGUCUUCGGAUCGUAAAACUCUGUUAUUAGGGAAGAACAUAUGUGUAAGUAACUGUGCACAUCUUGACGGUACCUAAUCAGAAAGCCACGGCUAACUACGUG
rnacentral:rRNA from 1 species